rnacentral:rRNA from 1 species
AUGGAGGGCAUGACAACAUGGGAUCAAGUAUAUCAGUUAUUCCAACCAUCUGGAGCUAUCAAGUUUCCGCUGCAAGACACAGAAGCUUGGAGAUUAAAGACGGAAACAGGGGAUGCAACGGGGAGCUUCCGGGUGUUCUCCGGCGCGCUGUUGCUGGCGAUUCGUUUCCAGAGGAGACAUGUACGGGGUUCCGCACGUGCACGCACUGACCUGGUCGUGUUUUCCGAUCUCAAGUCACCGGAGGUGACGGCGUGGUCAUUUAGCGGCGGAGGUGUUGCGGGCGUUGGGAGGUAG